CUUUAGCCACGGGGACGUCUGAUUCCGUUUGUGGUUUCGUUCAGUCAACAAAACAAAUAGCAUUUUAAAUUCCUACUUUUACAAUUAUCUUUGUGGUAUUUGAGUGUUCAAUCACAGCAUUACUAUAGCAAACUGUACUGUUUAGGAAAAUUAUUAAUCUUUCUGGUUUGAUUGCUCAAUUGCAGACUAACUGUGGUUUCUUGAAACAUUAUGCAAAAGCCCGCAUUCUUGGGGAAUCCCACAGGGUGGGUACGAGCCAUACUUUAGGGACAUCAUCAUCGUCGUCAUAAUCGUCGUGUUGAAGAGGAGGUUAACGAUUUGCGGAGGUGUGGUCACGACGGGUGACUGGACUCGGGCUCACGGAACCUCCACAAGGCCGCAGCCUAGCUGCCCGACCACAUGGGGACUGAGCGUGAGGUGAGGUGGGCGGCCUGUCGAUGACCAGGAAGCUGCGGCGGCGCUCGACCAUUCUAAGGCGUCUGCGAUCGUCGCUGUGUAGCCUUCGCCGUCUGAACCUCUCUCAGCAGGAGAAACCUACGACCGGUGAAGUAUCUCUUAGGAAGGGCUACUCCCAGCAUGGCUGCGACGCGAGGCCUUCUUCAGCUGGCGUGUUCGCUGUGGACGACGCCUCGGCGUCUGACUUCGGGGAGCUUCGCGCUGUGCCACGCGAUGGUGUCUACGAGCAGGAGAACGUGCAUGGGUUGGCGUCGACACGGAGUCGCCCGUUACUGUAGCCAGCCGAGAUUUCGUUGUACGAGCAGAGAGGCUCGGGUCGCCCAGGAGAGGACGCGUUGCCCAGCGCACGGUCAGUCAAACCUCGUGCAGCCGAGUGCGCCUCCUCGUUGGGGUUGAUCAAGGCACCCUCAAUGGUCCCAAGGUGCGCAGGGAACCAGGCCAAAGAGUGAUGUUUCAUGUCUUUGGCACUUUGGAUGAUACGUAGGGCCUGGGGAGCCACCAUUCCCAUCUGAAAGGCCCUGACAGCGGCCUUAGAAUCCGAAUAAAUCGUGUCAUGUACACUGUCCGCCAAUGCAAGAGCAAUAGCAACUUGCUCUGCAACGCUGGAAUUAGAAGUGCGGACGGUAGCGCAGCUAAGGAUUUUAGCAUCCGUAGCAUCCGCUUCCGUAGUGUCAUCCUGACGCUGCGAUGAUUUAAAGCGGCUGUGUGUCC